ACACGACUACAUUAGAUACCCCUGUAGUCCUAGCCGUAAACGAUACUCGCUAGGUGUCGGCCACGGUGCGACCGUUGUCGGUGCCGUAGGGAAGCCGUGAAGCGAGUCACCUGGGAAGUACGGCCGCAAGGCUGAAACUUAAGGAAUUGGCGGGGAGCACCACAACGGGUGGAGCUUGCGGUUUAAUUGGAUUCAACGCCGGAAAUCUUACCGGGACCGACAGCAACAUGAAGGCCAGGCUGAAGACUUUGCCGGAUUAGCUG
rnacentral:rRNA from 1 species